GUGAGGAAUUUUCCGCAAUGGGCGAAAGCCUGACGGAGCAAUGCCGCGUGAAGGAUGAAGGCCUAUGGGUUGUAAACUUCUUUUCUCAGAAAAGAAUUAUGACGGUAUCUGAGGAAUAAGCAUCGGCUAAUUCUGUGCCAGCAGCCGCGGUAAGACAGAGGAUGCAAGCGUUAUCCGGAAUGAUUGGGCGUAAAGCGUCUGUAGGUUGUUUAAAAAGUAUUCUGUCAAAGAUUAGGGCUUAACCCUAGAUAGGCAGAAUAAACUUUUAAGCUAGAGUUUGGUAGAGGCAGAGGGAAUUCCCGGUGGAGCGGUGAAAUGCGUAGAUAUCGGGAGGAACACCAAAGGCGAAGGCACUCUGCUGGGCCAAUACUAACACUGAGAGACGAAAGCGAGGGGAGCAAAUGGGAUUAGAUACCCUUGUAGUCC
rnacentral:rRNA from 1 species